rnacentral:sRNA from 1 species
UAUUGCUCUUGAACGAGGAAUCCCUAGUAAGCACAAGUCAUUAGCUUGUGCUGAUUACGUCCCUGCCCUUUGUACACACCGCCCGUCGCUACUACCGAUUGAAUGGCUUAGUGAGGCCCUCGAAUUGAGGUUCGGAGACUGGCAACAGUUUCUGUUCUUUGAGAAGUUGGUCAAACUUGGUCAUUUAGAGGAAGUAAAAGUCGUAACAAGGUUUCCGUAGGUGAACCUGCGGAAGGAUCAUUACCAAUUUUAGCGAGCCUGGCAUUACGUCCAUGGUCUCGUGAAAUUAUUGUAUUUAAAACCCACACUUCUAUAAUAGAAUAACAUGUAUCAUGAUAAAAAAUUAAAGAUCACUUUCAACAACGGAUCUCUUGGCUCUCGCAUCGAUGAAGAACGUAGCGAAGUGCGAUAAGUAGUGUGAAUUGCAGAAUUCCGUGAAUCAUCGAAUCUUUGAACGCAAAUUGCACUCCCUGGUAUUCCGGGGAGUAUGCCUGUUUGAGGGUCAGUUUAAAUAAAAAUCGGUGUGUUGCUUUUUGUAACGCCUCGGAUUUGGGUUAUCUUAGCCUUUGGGUUAAGAGACCUAAAAUUGACUUUUUUUGUGCAUUUUUAUAGACGUACAUAAGAUAUUUUUUUAUUCGUCUUGGAAUGCCAAAUUUAUUAGGUAUGAUCAUGUUGUGUGAUUUCGUACCUAUAGGUUUCAUCAUCUGACCUCAAAUCAGGUAGGGACACCCGCUGAACUUAAGCAUAUCAAUAAGCGGAGGAAAAGAAAAUAACAAUGAUUCCCCUAGUAACUGCGAGUGAAGAGGGACAAGCUCAAAUUUUAAAUCUGUUAGGUAUCACCUGGCCGAGUUGUAAUUUGAAGAAGCGUUUUCUGCGCUUUUGAUCAGCCCAAGUCCUAUUGAAUGAGGCAUCAUGGAGGGUGAUAAUCCCGUCCGGUUGAUCAAUGCGUUUUACGAUACGCUUUCAAAGAGUCAAGUUGUUUGGGAUAGCAGCUUAAAAUGGGAGGUAAAUUUCUCCUAAGGCUAAAUAUUGGCGAGAGACCGAUAGCGAACAAGUACCGUGAGGGAAAGAUGAAAAGAACUUUGAAAAGAGAGUAAAAUAGUGCGUGAAAUUGUUGAACGGGAAACGAUUGAAGUCAGUCGCACCGAUGGACAAUCAGCCUUUUGAGUGCGAUUCUGUGGGGCAUGAGGAGGAAACCCUCGUGUUUUGCAUAUUUGUGCUCUUUGGGUGUAUUUGUUCGUAUGGUGGGUUAACAUCAAUUUUGGUCGUCAUAAAAUGACGGGAGGAAUGUAGCUUUGGUCUCGUAUUGAAGUGUUAUAGCCUCUGGUAGAUGUGACGACCGGGAUUGAGGAUUGCAACGGAUACCCCUCGGGGCUACUCGCCUGAUCUCUGAUCGUUACUCUGGUGCCGAAAGCUUGCUUAUGUCAUCAAAGUUGAUGGUCAGAAGGUUAGAACGGGUUAAAUUCGUUAAGGAUGUUGACGUAAUGGCUUUAAACGACCCGUCUUGAAACACGGACCAAGGAGUCUAACAUAUAUGCGAGUGUU